rnacentral:rRNA from 1 species
GAUGAACGCUGGCGGCGUGCCUAAUACAUGCAAGUCGAACGCAGUGGGGACGGGUGAGUAACACGUGGGUAACCUCCCCAUCAGAGGGGAUAACACUUGGAAACAGGUGCUAAACCGAUACUGAUGGAUGGACCCGCGGUGCAUUAGCUAGGUGGUGAGGUAACGGCUCACCAAGGCCACGAUGCAUAGGCGACCUGAGAGGGUGAUCAGCCACACUGGGACGGAGACACGGCCGAGACGCCUACGGGAGGCAGCAGGAGGGAAUCUUCGGCAAUGGACGAAAGUCUGACCGAGCAACGCCGCGUGAGUGAAGAAGGUUUGCGGGUCGUAAAACUCUGUUGUUGGAGAAGCGGUAUCGAAACAUAAAGCCACGGCUAACUACGUGCCAGCAGCCGCGGUAAUUC